CCUACGGGUGACAGCAGUCGAGAAUCAUUCACAAUGGGGGAAACCCUGAUGGUGCGACGCCGCGUGGGGGAAUGAAGGUCUUCGGAUUGUAAACCCCUGUCAUGUGGGAGCAAAUUAAAAAGAUAGUACCACAAGAGGAAGAGACGGCUAACUCUGUGCCAGCAGCCGCGGUAAUACAGAGGUCUCAAGCGUUGUUCGGAAUCACUGGGCGUAAAGGGUGCGGAGGCUGUUUCGUAAGUCGUGUGUGAAAGGCGCGGGCUCAACCCGCGGACGGCACAUGAUACUGCGAGACUAGAGUAAUGGAGGGGGAACCGGAAUUCUCGGUGUAGCAGUGAAAUGCGUAGAUAUCGAGAGGAACACUCGUGGCGAAGGCGGGUUCCUGGACAUUAACUGACGCUGAGGCACGAAGGCCAGGGGAGCGAAAGGGAUUAGAUACCCUUGUAGUC
rnacentral:rRNA from 1 species